GAUGAACGCUGGCGGCGUGCUUAACACAUGCAAGUCGAGCGAAGCGCUUAAGUUUGAUUCUUCGGAUGAAGAUUUUUGUGACUGAGCGGCGGACGGGUGAGUAACGCGUGGGUAACCUGCCUCAUACAGGGGGAUAACAGUUAGAAAUGACUGCUAAUACCGCAUAAGACCACGGUACCGCAUGGUACAGUGGUAAAAGCUCCGGUGGUAUGAGAUGGACCCGCGUCUGAUUAGGUAGUUGGUGGGGUAACGGCCUAUCAAGCCGACGAUCAGUAGCCGACCUGAGAGGGUGACCGGCCACAUUGGGACUGAGACACGGCCCAGACUCCUACGGGAGGCAGCAGUGGGGAAUAUUGCACAAUGGAGGAAACUCUGAUGCAGCGACGCCGCGUGAAGGAUGAAGUAUUUCGGUAUGUAAACUUCUAUCAGCAGG
rnacentral:rRNA from 1 species